rnacentral:rRNA from 1 species
GACGAACGCUGGCGGCGUGCUUAACACAUGCAAGUCGAACGGAAAGGCUCUGCUUUUGUGGGGUGCUCGAGUGGCGAACGGGUGAGUAACACGUGAGUAACCUGCCCUUGACUUUGGGAUAACUUCAGGAAACUGGGGCUAAUACCGGAUAGGAGCUCCUGCUGCAUGGUGGGGGUUGGAAAGUUUCGGCGGUUGGGGAUGGACUCGCGGCUUAUCAGCUUGUUGGUGGGGUAGUGGCUUACCAAGGCUUUGACGGGUAGCCGGCCUGAGAGGGUGACCGGCCACAUUGGGACUGAGAUACGGCCCAGACUCCUACGGGAGGCAGCAGUGGGGAAUAUUGCACAAUGGGCGGAAGCCUGAUGCAGCAACGCCGCGUGCGGGAUGACGGCCUUCGGGUUGUAAACCGCUUUCGCCUGUGACGAAGCGUGAGUGAGGGUAAUGGGUAAAGAAGCACCGGCUAACUACGUG